UGGGGUUCUCAGAGUCUGUUUCUGC
rnacentral:piRNA from 1 species